rnacentral:misc_RNA from 1 species
GUUGCUUCUUGUUCCUUUUGCUGUCGCCAUUCAAAUGAGCUAAAUGCAAAUGCAGAUUCAUCUCGUCCCAUGUCUGUAUGGUUUGUACUACCAUGCAUUAUAAUACUACCCUUUUAUGCCUUAUCCUAGUUCCAUUAGGCUCGAUAGACAGCACCUUACAAUACCCUCCACUGUAGUUGCAGCCUUGUUCCUUUGUUAAUAUGAAGACCAUACAAUCACCAUAGUGAGUUCCGUUUUGCUUUCGUAACUUGUCUGUUCUGUGUUCUUCAACUUAGCUCCUUAACUUUAGUGUAUACAUUCCCAAACCUUUAGGUGGAAAGGAAUGAUAGAAUGUGGAUUUUAAUUGGUGAAUAAAUGUGGAUGGAUUACUAGUAUUAUCUGCUGGGAAAAUUCUUGUCUAUAUCUGAUUGUGGAUUCAAGACGCAUGUAUGUUGAGUUUCACAUGUAGGAUUUAUGUGUUUGUAUUUUGAGUAUGAU